rnacentral:lncRNA from 1 species
UGAUGGGUUGUGUCUAGGCUGCUCUGCCGGGACUCCGGGGGUGAGACUGAGGCGAUGCUUCUCAAUGAGACGGUGCCACAAUGGGUGAUUGACAUCACUGUGGAUGUAAGUGUCCUUCACUCCCAUUUUGUCCUUUGCUUUUCCCAGACAUUAAGUCUUACACUGUAACAAAAGUCACCUGCCCGGCGGAAUCCCCUCUGCGUGCGUUCGUUCCUGAAGUUCUAAAGGUGCAAACGCAUCUGAUAGUUAUUUCAGACCAACUUUUACUUUUGUCUGGUUUCAGUCAGAACAAUAAUAUAGGCUUAUUCUAAAAAGGAAAUCAGUGUUUAAAGUGCCCACCUCUUCCCAGCCAUCCUCCCAGCCCUCCUCCCGGAGGGAGCACCUAAUAGGAGGUUGGUGCAGCCUCUGCUACGUUCCUCACCUACAUAAAUACAUGCUAUUUGUGUGCAUACAUAAGUGUGUAGUUCAUUUACUUUUGCACAAAAUCUCUUACAGUGUUCUGCAACUUUUUUUUCCUUAAAAAUAGUCUUGGACAUCUCUCGAUGCCUGUGUUUAUGGACUGUUCCCUAUUUUGUGUGUGUAAGAGUAUCAUUCUGUAUUUGAUUGUCCCCUUAUUAAUGGGCUCACGUUGUUUCCAGGGUUUUGUAUUGCAAGCAGUGCUGCAGUGAACAUCCUUGUACGUGUAUCUUUAUGAGCUUUUUAGAAUAAAUUCCUACAAGUGGAAUUGCUGGAUCAAAGGGUAUGCAUGUUUUAAUGUGGAUAGAUCUUGCCGAAUCGCCUUUUCACAGAGGCAGCUUACCCUGAACCAACCGUAUGUGGUACCCCAUUGCCACAGCCACAGCAACACUGCUCUGUCGGCAAACACCGUCUGAUGAUUUCAGUGUGGAUGUUUGGUUACUCAUGGUGAGGUUAGGAGUCUUUUCAUACUGACCGUGAGUCUCUGCUGUGACCUGCCUGUUGGUCCUUUACCGCUUCUCUAACUGGGUCGUCAUCUUACUGCCUCGCAGGUGAUCUUCCAGUGCCAAUUAACCUGACUCCUCUGCGCCUUCAUUAAACUUUUACUUUGUUCAAGGUCCUUUCCCAGGUGGGAACUUGUUAUAUAGUCAAAGUGGGUUUUAUGGCGCUGAGGUCCAUGUUUUGUUAGAGAUCACCCGGUUUAGAAUAUCCUUUAUAUCAACUCUGACUUGACUGUUUUCUUACUUGCCUCUCUGUUUGCUGUAAGGCGACAUUCUUUUUCCAGUGAACUAAGCCAUAUGCCAAUGCAGUUUAUAGGAAUCUGUCCGGUCUACUAAUUUGAAAUGCUAUGCUGUCUGUAUAGUGUACUAAAUUCCUGCAGACUCAGUUUGUUUCUAGACUUUCUGUGUCCUCUUGACUACUUGUAUAUCCCUAAAGCCAUAUGAAAAGGGAUUUAAUCUCUUGAAACUUAAAAAAAAAUUCUUUUCUAUCCCAAAUACACCUCAAGAACUUAGAACUAGAGUGACACCUGUUGGGUGUCCGUGGCCAUCCCUGUCCAGGCUCCCAUAAACCACUGUUUCUUUUGAGUAUAGAACUCACUUGGGUGCAGUAGUGACCCUAUGACAUGAGCUGUGUUCCAAAACUGGCUGGAUCAUUUCAGCUGUCACGGUAGCCCUCCCUCUGUCUGAGGAAGAGGUAGAUGGUAGGAGGGCCUGAUAGCCUCUCCAGUGGACGAUGGGCCAUCAGUGCCCAAGUGUCUGCUCAAAGGUGAACGUUCUGGGGUGUUCUCAAAACACUGCAAUCAUCAGAUAUUUUGAUUUAUGGAACUUUAAAAAUGUAGGUUUGUUUUCCUGUGCUGCCUUAAAUGAUAACUUAAGAAGAGCUGUGCCACUGUUGUUGACUACUAUAUAUAAUUUGUCUUCAUCUAUUUUUAUUGUAAACUAAGCAUACUUGCUGAGAAAUUUUCUCUUAAGGCAUACUUCUAUUGAUAACUUACUAUAAAUUUCACUAAAAGUCACUUUUAUUGUAAAAAUGGUUAUUUGUAAAUUGUUUUCCUUUUGAUAACAUUUUAGUUUUAUCAGCUAACAGAAACUAUUAUACCUCUUAAACUUUUAAUAUUUCAGAAAAAUAUGCCCAAAUUCAACAAAAUUCCUUUCUACCUCCAACCUCAUGCAUCUUCAGGAGCAAAAACUUUAAAAAAGUAAGUAACUGCUGUGCUUCCGUGCGCUGGUCACUGCGGUGCCUCUGUCCUUUAGCUCCCUUUAUCAGAUGGAGGCAGGUGCUAGGUUGAAGGCCAUUGCUUUGGGUUUUGUCUCCUCUCAAAAUUAAGUUUAACCCAUAGUUGCUGACACUGCCUUUUAAAUCUUAGCACUUGGAGGCAGAGGCAGGGGCCAGCCUGGGCAGUAGAAUGGUGAGUUCCAGGCCAGCCAAGACUACAUAGCAAGACCAUGUAGCCAUGUGUGAUGGCACACACCUAUAAUCCCAGUUCUUAGGAGGUAAACAGAGGGGAUCCACAGUCUCCAAACCAAACAGUUCCUUUGAGGAUAAAAACCUGUGUGUAGUGGCUGCUUUCACAGACCUUAGGAAAGGAUGAAAGUGGGAGCAAACCAGCUCUGAACAGAGCCUUCUAGGAGGACAAGAAAUCUCACCUGAACACACAUGGAUGGGUGGAGUACCCAAAGACAGACUUCCCAAACAGGACCUUGCUCGGGUACCAGAAAUGGUAUAGAGAUGUGUGCUCCCAUACAUAGGAUGGCGUGAAACGAUACAGCUGAGUCAGAGGCUUCCUGACUCGGAAUUUCAAUGCCAGGUCACAGAGUGCAGUUCCACUAAUUCCUGCUAGGUAGAUAUGGCUCAAAGACAAGCUUACAGCAGAGGACUUGGAGUCUGAACCAUAAUCGGUGUGUAUGGCUAGCGAGUGAAAUCAACGAGGCUGUUAAAACUGUCAGAGGGAUUCCCAAGCUCACACAGAGGACAAGUUCCUGGUGACCCAGCAAAUGAGGACAAACCUCUGUAAUACUGAAACAUAGUGUCCAACCCACACUUCCGCCUGCCCCUCCACCUCCUCCACAUGCACGCAUUGGAUCACUUCAGCAAGCCGUAGACGCCACUUCAAGUGGAUUUAAUGACUCCACUUGAAGAUCCUUGAACAGUUUGACCUGUAGCUGUGAGAUAGGAUAGUAGUUUACUGAUAUCAGAGAUAAGGGCUUAAAAGUGAGGGACUUCAGUUGUGUAAUGCUGGGUUUGUGGUCUGAGCAAGCUGUGGCUUAAUGUCUAGCCUGGGGUAUUCAUUGUCUCCUAGUUGAAGGCACAGCAGUAGGAGAUAACACUGAGCCCUUGGUCCUUAACUGGUGGGUCUACCCAGGCUUUAGCCGAGGGCUUGGAGGCAUAUAGUACAAGUGGCUGUUGUGUGUGCAUGAGCCCUCGAAGGCACCACAGGAUCUCUCCUGACAGAUUUCAAGUGAUUCGGAGCAAUGACUGAAAACAUGUAUUGAUUUCAGAUGUCUGUUUAUAUUUAUCUUGAGAUAUUGAC